rnacentral:rRNA from 1 species
UACGGGGGGGGCAAGCGUUGUUCGGAAUUACUGGGCGUAAAGGGCUCGUAGGCGGCCAACUAAGUCAGACGUGAAAUCCCUCGGCUUAACCGGGGAACUGCGUCUGAUACUGGAUGGCUGGAGGUUGGGAGAGGGAUGCGGAAUUCCAGGUGUAGCGGUGAAAUGCGUAGAUAUCUGGAGGAACACCUGUGGCGAAGGCGGCCCCCUGGUUGGAUACUGACGCUGAUACGCGAAAGCGUGGGGAGCAAACAGG